UAUAAAUGUUAAAUGCUUACAAGGUGCGAGUACAUUUCACCAUCUACCCAAAAGGUGCAACAAAUUUCUGCAGGAACAAAAGCUGGACCAUAUUCAAAGCCUCAAACACCACCACCAGAGAAAGAAGAUGCUAUUUCUUGAAAUUUUGCAUAGAAUGUUCACAGGAGGACCUGAUUGUAUUGAGGAAUAUAUGAUUGUGUUUAUUUAAUUUAAUGGCUAAGAAACAACUCAGAGUUGGUUCCUUGCCUCAGAAAUUCUUGGGACGACACUUUUUUCAAUAAAAUGGCAUAAUUGAGCUACUACAAGAACAAGCCACGCAGGAAUUUUGUCACCUAGUACUCCUAUCUGAUUUCAUGAGAAUAGUGAUAUUGAGCAACGACAAAAUGGACGUCUAACAUGAGUCUUUUAGAGUAAUUCAUGAGAAUAAGCCAAGCAUUAGCUUAUACUUUCUCCAAGAGUUGGUAAAUGACACCCUUGAGUGGCACAUAUGUUAAACAUUAGCUGGGGUAUAUAGGAAAAGAAAGUAGUCAGAAUACUUUAAAAAAAUUAUGUUCACAAAAUUAUUUGUAGUAGUUUGAAUGAUAUAGAUAGAAAGUUCUUGAAGAAAUUGUUUUAUGAGCUGUCGAUCAUUAUUGUGAAUUGCAAAGGGCACCAUAUAUGUAAUUGUUGUUUGAAUUUUAGAAUAUGAGAAAAGUAGGAAUAAAGUGUUACCUUAAAGCAAAGGUGACAAUAGAGUAACAUCCCGAGUUCUAUAUUUCACAACGUAAUCUUAUAUAAUAUCAACAAAAUGUAUUGAUUAUCUCUACUUUUUAUGUUUACAAAUCAAAGUCACAUAUUUAAACAUGUUGGAUUCGUCAGAAUACUGAAUAACAUUUUACACUUGAAAGGGAAGAACAGUCUCAUUUGCCAUCCUAUAGUUUCACUUGAAAUAGAACGCACCUAGAUACACACAUUAGAAAGUAAAGAAUCCCCAGAAUUUUACUAUUAAGACAGCCAAAAGUGAGAUCUUUGUAAGGUUUAAAGAAAGAAAGCAUAGCGGGACUGGGAAAUGCCACAUCACAUGAUAAAAGUAAUUCUGUUGGCAUCUUAUCUUCUAUCAUUACCAGUAAGACAUCCAUACUGCCUUGGAUAACUGCCUUUUUACUUGCCUCAAAGGCUGCCUUCAAAGGGUAUACUUCCUCUAUUCCCUCCUUUUGCAUAACUUGGAUUUUAAGAAAGUGUCUACUAGAGAAGAAAAAUUAAACAAAUAAAAUCAUGCAAAAUUAUAGACUCUAAAUUUGUUAAAUUAACUUUAUGUAGAUGCUGGAUUCAUCUUAAAAAAUGAGAAAAAGAAGAAGAAGAAGAAGGCAGACCUAUAAUCCAAAUAAUUGAGCUUCUUGACUUACAUUAUAUUGAAACGAUUGCAAACCUGAAAUAUCAAGUAGAAGAUGACUUAUUGCACUGAUGAUAUAAUCUUUGACAGCAAUAAGAGCAUCCUGAAAACAAUAAAUUUAUCAUCAUAUCAUCCUCAAUAAAUACGAGUCACAAAGCAAUCCAGAUAGACACGCAGAUGUAUUGCCAUCUGUUUUAGUUGUAGAAUCGACAAUGACCUGUAGAGUAAAAUCAGGAAGGGCAGCCCCAGUUAACACUUUAUCAAGUAGGAGCACAUAAGUCCAAAUGACUCCUAUAAACG
rnacentral:lncRNA from 1 species